rnacentral:snRNA from 1 species
GUGCUCACUUCAGCAGCACAUAAGCUAAAAUUAGAGCCAUAGAGAAAAGAUUAGUAUGGCUCCUGCGCAAGGAUGAUGUACAAAUUCGUGAAGCAUUCCAUAUUUUU